CGGAGCGUAGCUCAGCCUGGUAGAGCGCCAGCUUUGGGAGCUGGGUGUCGCAGGUUCGAAUCCUGUCGCUCCGACCA
rnacentral:tRNA from 1 species